rnacentral:rRNA from 1 species
AUUGAACGCUGGCGGCAGGCCUAACACAUGCAAGUCGAGCGGUAGCACAGAGAGCUUGCUCUCGGGUGACGAGCGGCGGACGGGUGAGUAAUGUCUGGGAAACUGCCUGAUGGAGGGGGAUAACUACUGGAAACGGUAGCUGAUACCGCAUAACGUCGCAAGACCAAAGAGGGGGACCUUCGGGCCUCUUGCCAUCAGAUGUGCCCAGAUGGGAUUAGCUAGUAGGUGGGGUAACGGCUCACCUAGGCGACGAUCCCUAGCUGGUCUGAGAGGAUGACCAGCCACACUGGAACUGAGACACGGUCCAGACUCCUACGGGAGGCAGCAGUGGGGAAUAUUGCACAAUGGGCGCAAGCCUGAUGCAGCCAUGCCGCGUGUAUGAAGAAGGCCUUCGGGUUGUAAAGUACUUUCAGCGAGGAGGAAGGCAUUGUGGUUAAUAACCACAGUGAUUGACGUUACUCGCAGAAGAAGCACCGGCUAACUCCGUGCCAGCCGCCGCCGUAA